ensembl:miRNA mir22-1 microRNA mir-22-1
ACUGGCUGACCCACAGCAGUUCUUCACUGGCAAGCUUUAUGUUCUCGUGCACCAGCUAAAGCUGCCAGCUGAAGAACUGUUGUGGUCGGCUCUU